CCUACGGGAGGCAGCAGUGGGGAAUUUUGGACAAUGGGCGCAAGCCUGAUCCAGCAAUGCCGCGUGAGUGAAGAAGGCCUUCGGGUUGUAAAGCUCUUUUGUCAGGGAAGAAACGGUGGAGGUUAAUACCUUCUGCUAAUGACGGUACCUGAAGAAUAAGCACCGGCUAACUACGUGCCAGCAGCCGCGGUAAUACGUAGGGUGCAAGCGUUAAUCGGAAUUACUGGGCGUAAAGCGUGCGCAGGCGGUUGUGCAAGACAGAUGUGAAAUCCCCGGGCUCAACCUGGGAAUUGCAUUUGUGACUGUACGGCUAGAGUGUGUCAGAGGGGGGGUAGAAUUCCACGUGUAGCAGUGAAAUGCGUAGAGAUGUGGAGGAAUACCGAUGGCGAAGGCAGCCCCCUGGGAUAACACUGACGCUCAUGCACGAAAGCGUGGGGAGCAAACAGGAUUAGAUACCCUGGUAGUCCACGCCCUAAACGAUGUCUACUAGUUGUCGGGUCUUUAUUGACUUGGUAACGCAGCUAACGCGUGAAGUAGACCGCCUGGGGAGUACGGUCGCAAGAUUAAAACUCAAAUUGAUUGACGG
rnacentral:rRNA from 1 species